UCCGCCCACUACCGGGCCGGCCCGGGCGCCAUCUUGGCUGCUGGUUACGCUGCCCGGCGUUCCGUUACACCGCCUGCUCCGCUGCAGAGGGCCCGGGGCUGCGUCCCUCCGCUCCAGUGAGCCCGUGCUUCGGGCCCUGAGGCGGGCGGCCCGAUGCCCUGAAACUGCCGGGGCCCGGCCGCCUUGCUUCCCUCAGCCGGUGGGACCGGCACCCGCCCCUGCACCCCGGCAGGGAGCGGGGCUGCCGCAAGGGCCGGCCAUCCCCCCGAGCAAGGAGCGCUCUGAAAAACGGCUUAAAAACGCGUAGUUCGACGCUUCUGAUUGUGUCACGGGAGGGCAGAAGAGCCCCUAAAACCCAACCGGGAGCUGUCCUUCCCUUAACUGGUGGAAAACGCUCUUUCCCAAGACAUUACCACAGAAAGACAGACACUUAGAAGGGGAAUGUCCAAAAGAUUCAUGUCCAGUCCUGCAUACAACGGCACUUACCGUGGCUUAGCACACAUGAGUAAGGUGAUGUGGACAAACAUCCUCCUCCAGAUCCAGCUAUGGCUGUGGAAUGAGUAAGUGCUGCUUGUCACUGCUCCUCUCCAAAUAUUCUCCAGACUGAGACUUCAGUAACUGGUGCAAAGGUCUGAGGUAACAAGGGGAGUAAGGCAGUGUUUAUGUAAAUUGUUUGUGGGGUAGAUCCUUAGGGGCUGGGAAUAGGGCUAUUUUCACCAGCAAAGGGUGUUAAACUGGCAGAGCUGGUAGCACCUUCCAUAAGCGUAGCAGGAUCCAGAAAAUGAUGUGUCUGCAUGGCAUCUCCACUCACUGCUUAGCCCAGGCAAAGAGGUUAUAACACAUAACUUCUAUCCAGAAGCAAUUUAUUAUUUUUUUUACCUCAGUAGUUGGCAACUUGUUAUUGCAGUGCAGAAAGUCACUAGUCCAUCACCUUUAGUUUCAAAGUCCCUCACAACACACCUGGACAGUAUAAUGCAAGGUGUGGAGAAAGAUGAACCCAGUGGCACAGAGAGGGCUGGGCGAAAUUACAGUGCAAGAGAGCAGAUAAGAGUGUAGAAAAAUGCAGAUUGUAAACAAAGACAGUUCUGUUCUUGGGUUGGCCAAGGGGCUGCUGCUAAGUCGCAGUAACCCUGGGCUGUCACCUUUGAGAUUUACUUGUCACUGUGGUAUGCAAUACAAGAAUGUGCAUCAUUUCAUCGUGCUCCUUACCUGCGCAGGUUGCCCUACUAAUUUACUACAAACUGUAAAAGUAGUUCCUUGUACUAAUUACCCUGUCUGCUGAAUGGCCAGAGAGGAAGCUGGGACUUGAAAUAAGAUAGCUUUCUCUAGAUGAGAAAAGUGAGAGAUACAGAUUCAGGCUAUUGUCUUUGUCUUAUUCAUGAUAUAUGUACAUGGCUUUCCUAUUGCUGAGCAAAUGAGAAAGUUUCCAAAGCACUGUGGCAGGUAGCAGUGGCAUCCCUGAAGUUUGCUCGCUGAUCUACAAAUUUAGUUGUUUUUGGUUUUUUUCUGGGGGUUUAAUUUGUUUGUUUGUUUGUUUUUGGUUUUUGCUUAAGAAUCAACAACUGUUAAAACACAGCAGUAGCAGCCUCGGACACCCUGGUUGCUCUUCCUGAUAAUAACAACGCAUACUUGCUCUGGCUAAAAGAAAUACUGUAGCAAGAUCCUCUUCUCUAUCCACAAGAACAAUCUUUAGGAUGGUCAGAAAUUGCAGAUCGAGAUCAGUGGACUGGCAAGUUUAAAUCUCCUGCAACUUAAACAUUCAGCUGCAAGACAUGUAGGAAAAAAGCUCUGAAGGUCUGGAUGUUACAGCACUUCUGCUUGUAACUGAGAACAUGACAUCUGCUAAGAAAUGACAGUUUUAUCCAGCUCAUCACCUGGUUCAAAUCUUUCAAGCAUAAGUUCUGUCAGCAAAGUGUUUCCUGGCUUACAUUCAGGUAACCGUAACAAAAUCUUCUCCUGGUUUCUCUGCCCGUAACUGUUUGGCUCUUUGCGAUCAUUUGUGGCUGUGCAUUCAGGCAGACACUAACUUCAUGCAUGAUGAGAAACAGCACUUACCCUGAUAACCUUCUGCUUCAAAACUGCAGGCUGCUCUCACUCAAUGUGAAUAGGUACUAGGAUCGGAGCUUAUGACUUCAUUUCCAGGCACCUCAGGUAGGCAAGCUGGCUCCAGACCCUGGAAGUCAUCCAGCCCCAUUGGACAAAGCUCCCACGGUCCCUCAACCACCUCUUUGCUUGUGGCUGCAAGAAAUGAAAAUGUUACGGCUGAGGCAGAGAGGGAAAGCACAGAAAUGCUGCUGUGCUGCAGCUUGCUACCUACCCAGCACUCCUGCCGAUCUGAUCGCCCCAUGAAGACUGGGGGUCACAGCACGGCCGAUUGCAGCCUGUGUCCCGCGGGGUGCUGGUGGUUCGCAGGCUGGGUCUAAAGGAUCUGGCAAAGCUGAUCACUGGGUGCCGCUCUGGACGUGCUGCACAGCAGAGGUGUGGGCUCUGAGUCCUUACCUACGUUUGAACAUGCCAGCUCCCUGCUGCUCCUCACGGUCACACGUCCAACCAGGAAUGAUUACAUUUUCGAGUGUCACAUGAGACAAUGACCUCUAAGUCAUGCUAAAAGAAAACUCUUGUGAAAUUUUUGCUGGCAGGCAAAGGGGGUACACAAACAUCCAUGAGCUCAAUGUACCAGACAUGCAUGUUGAGAUCUUACUACAGGCUGAGAGCACAUGUAUGUACAAGCAAACCCCAGAGCUGACAUGCAAGAGAGGUCCAAGCACCAGGGUGUUCACAAAACUCUGUGCAUGGGUAGUAAAUUGGCUCCUUCUUUUGUGGCUUGUGAUUGCUGUGAUUCAGCCGCAUCACCUGACAGUUGGUUUGCAUGAGAUGAUCGUCUUGUCUUUUUGUAACACUGGGCUAGCUACAAGCAUUAUCACCCAGUAAAUGUUCUUUACCCAUUUAAUUGUCAUUACAAAUAUUAGGAAAUGCUCCGUCAUUAGCCAGACCCCGGUUUAACCCCAGCAGUAAGGAGGGCCAGAUUCCCAUGCACAUCACCUUCUUCGAGGCCUCUUGAACCACAGCCAUGGUGGAAAGGGACCUGUCUGUGCCAUUAAGAACCUUUUCUCAGGGCUUAGUCAACACCUUUACUAGGCUUACAUUGUCUUCAGGGGAAUCUACUUUGCACAUGGUUUGCCUGCAACUGCACUUACAAAUGUGAUUUGUUUAUGUUUUGUUAUACAGGACCCAAAAUUCACUUGGUUCACAGCAUGCAGACAGUAAAGGGAAGCUGCUAUCUCUUUUGAUAUCCCAUUCCUUCCAAUUCCUCCAUACUCAGUUUUUGAAGACUGAGGUCUUCCACGCUGCAAGAGCAUAUUGAUCUCUGGCAACAGGCAGCCAUAGUCAUAGACCCAGAGUCUCCAGCUGCGUGUGCCAGAGCUCUGGGAUCAGGCAGCCACAAACAGCUCCCUGCAACUGGGGUAGGGUGGAGAGCCCAUGCCAUAAUACAUGCCUUCAGCAUAUCUGCUGAGAAGCGAAACUCCCUUCCCUCACACUCACCGCAGCACAAAGGUAUUUUGAAUCCUACGAAAGGCAUGCCAAAAAGCAAAUUUCUUUCCAGCAGUAAAGAGAGUGAGGAAUGCGUGUAGCUGGUCUGUUGGGCUCGAAGGGGGAGAUGAUGAUUAAUCACUAGCGAGGGAGGAUGACUGUAGAUGGCAAGUCAGCAUCUCUGAGUAUUUUGUUUUCCCUCCCCUCAUCCCUUUCUCCUUUUAAAAUGAAUUUUAAGAGAGUAUUUACAUGCUUAUCUGCAUGCUUUGGCAUCUUGUCUGAAGUCAGCAGGUCCCAUCCUUUCUGCCAGCAUUCAGAAAACGCUGGUCAUGAAGACGAAGCCUUCCUUGAAGACCGGAAUAGCUGUAGAUGAGGUCUUGGAGAGGGGCUGAGAUGGCCAGUAAAACAUCCAGGAGUAACUGGGGGGAAUACCAGCCUCAGUGAACCCACUGAGUAUUUUGCUGUGUCAGCACAUACCCUCUCCUUGCCAAAUUUCUAUCAAAAUUCCCAGGAUUUCUCUCAAAAUAUUCUGCACCUCAAGAGUCUGCUCUUCAUAUUGAAAGCUUCUGCUGUGAUCAAGUCAGACUGCACAGCCCAAGAAUGAAUGACUCAACCUAAGGGAUGGGCAGAAGACAAGCCAUGAUAAAUGGUAGCCUAGUGAUGCUCUUCUUUUUUAGCCCCCAAGUCACAGAAAGCCUUAUGGCAUGUGGAAACAACACCGGUUAAGCUACAGGACCUGUGCUGGUAGAGAUAUUACACUGGGCCUUGAAUGUAAAGCUGGAGUGUUCAUGCAACUACAGUCAUUAGGGGUCACAUAGUAUUCACUGAGUAAUAGACAUGUUGAUAUUUGCACCCAGAUGAAAUGCUCUCUCAGAUCAGUUCCUGCCCUAUGCUUUCAGCUGGGUACGCUGUUUGCAUUUCGUCUCAAACUCUGGACUGGGAGUGAGACAUUUCCUUUCAUGCUGUUACGCUGAGACCAAAGUCUACCUCAUUUAUAAAGUAUCCCAGACUCAGGGAAUGGGAAGCACUAUAAACCCACAAAAGUGCAUCCUUUCCCUCUGUCUUUUAGGCAAGAGGAGAGGCAAAACCCAACAAGCUUCUCUCAGAAGAUUUUACACUGUGGUCUUGAUCCUGAAAAGACAGAAAUCCUAACAAAACCAGUGGUUUUCAUCCAAAGAAAGGUUUUUAGGUGGUUUUGAUAAAAAGUGUAUCCACAGCUGUGCCUCUGGUAUGUACCUGCUCUUUAAUCUUAGUGCUGGGUACAGAAGCAGAGCUGCUACUUGGACCUAUAGAUGAAUCUAAUUGAUACAGACCUCGUGGAAGGGAGUGGUGCUAGGUAAGAGAUGGUCCACUACAGAUCCAGUGAGCUCACCCUCUGUGGGGCAAGCCUGUAGCAUCCCUGGGUGCUGUGCAAGGUAACACAGGUACUGCAGGGUGAGCACUGACCUUGCUCUUUUCCUGAAACACUAAAUAUCGGCCCUAGGACCUAAGCAGGAAUCAGCAGGAGUUGUGAACAGUUGGGAUGCUACCGUGCAAGAGGUCAUUAGAGCAUGCAUGGAAACAACCCAGGAUCAGUAAAUCUGGCUUGCAGCAAAAAGCCAAAGAAACCUGAGCGUUGUGGACUGACAUAAUUAGGUGCCAGACAGGAGGGCUCAGGACAUAUUGUACAGAUUAUUUGUAAAGACACGUUCCUGGCAUUCUGAGCCCAUAAAUAAUGUUUGUGAAAAGGUAUUAGGUGCCUUCCCCAGGGGCUGCCAGAGAAAAGAAAUAAGCAGACCAGAAGGAGCUCAGGCACAUUCCAGUUUGGGGAGGAGAAAGAGGCUGCAGAGACAUCUUUAGCAGACUUAUUACGGUACCUUUAUGAUAUGUUUGCCUUUUCUUACCCAGAGGGCAGGGUGGGGGAAAUAUGGUUCCUCUCUCUGACAGCGGUGGGGGAUCGAAUGCUGUAUGUGUAUAGACAGCAGUCCCGUCUCUUGGAGCCAGUCCUGCAAAGGUGUCCUGACCCAGACUGACAGCAGCCGGAGGGGUCUGGCAGCUGCCCACAGCCCAGGGCAGUGGCAGGUUGAUCCAGUGGAAAGCAUCACCUCUUCAACCCAAACGACGCAGCACCACGAGGGAGCAUCGCAGCCCGCCAAUGUCCUUCCUGGCUGUGGUCCUGCAGGGGCCUUGAAGCACUUGCAGUUAAAAGAAAUUGAUUGCAAUGAUAAAAGAGAGUUAUCUUUGCUUUAUCAUCAUAUGCUCAGGAAAGUCCCACAAAAACUUAGCAAAUUCCCCCUGCUGCUUCCCCGAAUGCCUGUGCCUCAGGCCCAGACUCAGCUACCCCUUUAAUCCUGUGCAGGAGAUCCAAGAUCAAAGUUGGUGGGACUUCGUUUCAUCACAGCUAUUCCCAGCACCAUCCCUGGAAUUCAGACAGCUGCUGGUUUUCAUUCCUCAGACAUGGGAUAGCGAGAUCUGACACUCCGGCGUUCACCCCUAGCUUUGGCACGAGUUAUGGAGUCUGGCUCCCGAGAUCUCCCCCGGCCCAUGGCAGAUGGCUCACCUUCAUGGCGGUACCCUGUGGGGGAUAAAUUGUUCACCAGUGUUUGCCCCACGGGUACCAAUGUUUCAGUGGCAAAGGGAGCAAUCCCUGUGCAAUCUGGGGUGUUCUGAGAUGGAAGGUGAUCUAUAACUAUCCAUUAUAUUAUCCCCCCAGGAGAGGGGGAAGAGAAUUGAAAACAUCAAACAUUUACUGGAAAAAACAAGACCAGCCCUGUAUUUAAUCAAAA